ACUUGAUUUUUAAAAAAAUACAAUGUCUGAAUAAUUUCCUUUAAUGAAAUAAAACUUUCAACAACGGAUCUCUAGGCUCUUGCAUCGAUGAAGAACGCAGUGAAAUGCGAUAAGUAAUGAGAAUUGCAGAAUCUCGUGAAUCAUCGAAUCUUUGAACGCACAUUGCGCCCUUUGGUAUUCCAUAGGGCAUGCCUGUCUGAGCGUCAGCUCCCCCUCACUCAAGUAUCCUUUCAUAAGAUACUUGAAUUGCUUUGGAGAGGUAACUGUGUAUUAAGUUGCCCUCCAGAAAUUUAUAGGCAGCAUGGUUUGUACU
rnacentral:rRNA from 1 species